rnacentral:sRNA from 1 species
GAGUAGCUGGUAUUACAGGCGUGUGCCACAAAGCCUGGCUAAGUUUUGUAUUUUUAGUAGAGACGGGGUUUCACCAUGUUGGCCAGGUUGGUCUCGAACUCCUGACCUCAAGUGAUCCACUCACUUUGGCCUUUCAACGUGCUGGGAUUACAGGCGAGAGUCACCGCACCCGGACGACUCUGACAUUUUUGAAGAGUCCAGAAUCCUGUUACACCUGGGAUUUAGGCACUUUCAAUCUGAAAAAAUACAUAUCCUUUCAGCACUCUGGACGGACUUGAGAACUGUCCUUACGUGACCUAAAGCUGGAGUAUUUUGAGAUUGGAGAAUUAAGGCCAACAGAGAUUUUGAGAAACACAUUGAAGGAUCUGUUAACACUUGAUAUACCCAAUAAAAGCAGUGGUUGUGCCAGUGCUGAUCUGUCUUGAUGUGAAUGUGAACAAUGGGAACCUGAGCUGAGCAGUUAAUGUUAGGGUGACAGAAACUGGACCUCUCCCAAGACAUGUGACAGAGUAAUACAGCAGCCAACUUCUUCGCCAAAUUAAAGUUUUACAAGAUUUAACCUGUCAUCAAGACCUGGGAUUUUGGUGAAGGACAGAAUAACGGGCUCCCAGAUUCACAAGCCCCACCAAGAGGAUCACCCCAGGAAUGCUUGGAGGCUGAGGAGUUCACUGAGGCUACUGCAUCUUGAGACUCAGGAUGAAGACCCAGCUUGGGGCUGUCAAAGGUUUUUUGCAUGUCUGACACCCAUGACUCCACCUGGACCUUAUGGCUCCACCCAGAAGCAAUUCAGCCCAACAGGAGGACAGCUUCAACCCAUUACGAUUUCAUCUCUGCCCCAACCACUCAGCAGCAAGCACCUGUUACCUGUCCAUCCCCACCCCUUCCCCCAAACUGCCUUUGAAAAAUCCCUAACCUAUGAGCUUUGAAUAAGAUGAGUACGAACUUCAUCGCCCAUGUGGCGUGGCCGGCCUCGUGUCUAUUAAAUUCUUUUUCUACUACAA